AGCAAUUUUUUUUGAAAACGUCAUAAGGAAGCCUGAUAGGCUUUAUAUGCUCAUUCACAUAAGCAAAUGCAUAAACAACGCAACAGUUUAUGGUCAUAGCCACAGACUGUACUGCUGUUUUGCUUUUAGAGAGGUUUGGGGGUAUUUUGCAUGCAGUGCCUGUGCAGUUCAGAAGAGGGUUGUUAGGUGCUGAGAACUGAACCCAGGUCUCCCGCAAGGGUAAGUACUCUUGACUGCUGAGCCAUCUGUCCAGCCAAUGUGGAAGUGUUCUAACUCCAGAGAAAUUCAUAUAAACUCAGGAUCAGUAUCGAAUGCUCCAGGCAGGUCUGAUUAUUCCCUUUCAUAGGGCAUCCCAAAUGCCAUGUGUACUGAGGAAAGCUUGGAAGAGUAUUUAAGGUAUGUAUAAGUGACAGCAUCCUGGGUCAGAAUCUUUUCUUGAAGAGAUCUGUUUCCACCAGGCAUCCAGGGCCUGUGAAGUCUUGAGCCUGGAAACUUAAUGAGAGACUACCAUGGCCCAAGUGUUUUCUCCAAAACUCUGUUGAAAUAUAAUUGGUAUCAUGAGAGUGCUAACAGGUGAGGCAUUUUGGAAGUGACUAGGUUGUUGGGACAUGACCCUCAUGAAUAUGGAUAGGAGGCCAUUAUUGUGGGAGUAGGUUAGAGGUUAGCAGCUAUGAGCUCAUUAAUUGUAAUGGUGGGCAGGAGGUGCUGCUCUCUUCCCUGUUCCUACACUUACCGCAUGGGUGCCACCAUUUGCUGACACAGCAAGGAGGCUGUUGUCAAUUCUCAGUGUCCAGAACUCUAAGUCAAAUAAAUUUCCAGAAGUUUACAAUUUACCCAGUCUGUGCCACUCUGUUAUAGUAGCAGAAACUUUGGUCAGAUGUCUGCCUUCCAGACUCUGUCACCAACUACUGACUCCAUUGUUAAGUACCACAUUGUCAAGGCUUAAAUAUCUCCCAAGAUUCACUCUUAACAGCUUGUCCCCAGAGUGGUACUACUGGGAUCAUGGACCCUUUAGGCAGUGUGGCUCUGUAGCAGGUGCUCAUGUCAGGGAGGCAUGGCUUCAAAGGAGAUUGUAGGACUCCAAUUCUUCCUUUUAAAAUUUCCUUCCUAGGAAUAAGAGAAGUGGUUUUGCUCUGCCUCAAGGCUCCCUGCUGUGAUACUUGGCCUCAUUAUAGGCCUAAAGCAAGAGGGCCUAUUUACCAUGGGUCCAACUCUGCAAAACUGGAACUGGGAGCCCAGAAGAUCCUACUCUGGAAAGAGAAGGAAUCCGAUUCCCAGUAUGACGUUGCACUUACUCAGCAUGCAUUAUCAACACUCAUAUGUGCUUCAGGGUGACCACUCCAGUCUCUCUAGAUCAGAGAAUGAUGCUGUGUGUGCUGGCUCCAUAUGCAUGAUGGAGAUACUGCAUCAAUUCUGGAAGAAUAAACCUCCAAGAUGUUAGUGCUGAGACUCAGUAUGUGCAAAUGAGACCUCAGACUUACAACAUUUCGUGGAAAUCUACCCAGAAUGGUCAGAGGUCGUCAAAUGCCAGUUGGCAUCCUUGCCUUUGACCUGUACUUCCAAAUCAGGUGCUAUCAAAAAAGAUCCCACGUGUCCUUCCCAGUAGUCUUAUAACACGCUUUUUCUUACUUCCUGUUUCCCUAUGCCAACAGGCUCCAUCAGGGAAGGCCUGAAGCCGUUCUCAUUUUUACUAUAAAGUGUUCACACUUUCCUGCCUGCUUUUAGUUUUGUCAAGUCCCAUGGGCUGAUGGGUGAUUCCCACGUGACAGUAAGUUGUGAAAUGGCAAGCUUAGUGUGUUUUCAUUUUGGUGUUCUGCAUUUAUUCCACAAUGCAGAGUGAGGGCUCAGCUUCUAGGAAUCUUUCUUAGAUAUUUUAAGACACCAUUGAUAAUACUUCUCUUACAGCAGAAAGAGCAGCUCAGAACUCAUUCUUUGGUCUCUGUUUCCUUUAAUUACCCUAAAGGCUGCACUCUGUGAGAGGGGAAGAGAGAAAGCAUGAAUGGGAUCAGUAAUGUGAGCACAGCUUUUAGGGUGUGUGUGUGUGUGUGUGUGUGUGUGUGUGUACGUGUGUGUGCUUAUUUAAAUUUUAUUUUAUAUGU